CUUCCCCUGCAAACAAACGCAAUCGCGAAGCAUCGAAUCGGAUCAGAGUUUUGGGAAAAAAAGACAGACAGAGAGGAAAUCGCCGUCGCCUUCCACCUCGCCGGCGAUGCAGCACGGGAGCGGCGACUACGCCUCCCCCGCCCCCGCGGGCCACUACUACCCUCACCAGUACGCGCCGCCGGGGCCGACCUCCCACCCCGCCGCCGCCGACCCCCCGAUCCCGGGGGCCUACGCCUCCGCGCCGCCCUACUCCGUCGGCGGCUACCCCGAGCAGCUGCCAUCCGCCCCGUCCUACACGCAGCCGCCCCAGUACGCCGGGUACCCACCCUACAACCCCACGCCCUACCCCCCUGAACCCUCGCCGGCGCCGUACUACAGCUACUCGCAGCCCACCCAGCCGGCUCCCGCGGCGGAACCCAGCCCAGCGCCGCUUCCCUAUGAUGCCCCGUACUACGGUGGAGGCUACCAGCAGCCCGCCGCUGGGUAUGGCGACGAUGAUUACCUGAACGAGGGCGCGUAUGCCUAUACAGGCAACGCGGGCCCCGAGCCGUACGGCGCGCGGGGCACAGCGCCGACGCGAUCAGGAGCCGCGAUGUUUGAUGACUACGGCCGGUCGAUUGGACUCUCGUCCGGAGGGGCGGAGCAGCCACACGGCGGCGGGGGCGGCAGCGUGGGUGGGAGCUUUGGGAAGAUUGCCAGGGCUGUUCCAAAAGCAGAAACCCAUGAGGAUGCUAGUGGUGGUGCGCAGAAGUUUCGGGUUAAGCUGCUGCCAGAGGGUGCCGGAAGCCCUACCGAUGUGCUUUGCCAGGUUGGUCUGGAUGGAAUCCGCAUGCUUGAUCCCAGCACAAACAGGACCCUAAGGAUUUAUCCCCUUGAUACACUGACGAAAUGGGAGGUUUUGGAUUCAACUGUAUUUGCGAUUUGGGCAAAGACUUCAGUGGAUUUUGAAGCAAAGAGAAUAAGGCUGAAGUCAAACAGCUAUACUUCCAAUACUUUGCUUGAUAUUGUAACAGCAGCAACAGUCCAGUUUAAGGAGAUCGGUGAAGAUGCAAGAGCCAAAGGAACAGUAGACGCUGGCAAAUCCUCAAUACAAUCAAAUGAGAAGAAAAAAGGUUUUGAUUGGAUGUUUGCGAAACCUGUUGAUGAAGUGAAAGAUCAUUGGGUUCCAGAUGAGGCUGCUAAGAAAUGCCAGUCUUGUGCUGGUGAUUUCAGUCAUUUCAACCGCAGGCAUCAUUGUAGGAACUGUGGCGAGAUCUUCUGUGAUAAAUGCAGCCAAGGAAGAAUUGCUCUGACAGCUGAAGAUAAUGCUCCACUUGUCCGAGUUUGCGAUAGAUGCAUGGCAGAGGUUUCUCAGAGGCUUAGUAUGGCACAGGAAGCUGCAAACAGAUCUACCACAGUGCAAAGUCAUGGAGAUCUUGCAAGAAAACUGAAGGUAAUAUACUAGAUGACCCUUUCUCUAUCUCAGGGGGGGGGGGGGCAUAUUAGGCUUUCAAGGAGAGGGUUAUUGAGGAGGGCUCUUGGAGGAAGGAGGUGAUGCAAACAAUAUGAGGAACUGGAGAGGAAUCGCAAGUCUUCAGGGACGGCGUCUGGAGGUGCAUCUGGAACAAGAAUGCGGGAAGUUGCGUGUCCUACCUGCACAGUCCAUCUUCAGCUUGGAUCCCUCAUCGAGGAGCGUUCCUCUCCAAGCUUCUUACAUCAUCAGCAAUUAAUGGCCACCGGAGGUAUGACCCUGGAGAGCCUACCGAACGAGCUACCAUUAGACUUCUUGAACAAAAUCACAAAGAACUUCUCCGAUGAGCUACUACUUGGUCAGGGCGCGUUCGGGUCAGUUUAUAAGGGGAUCCUGGACGAUGGAGUGGUUGCCGUGAAGAAACUCGCGGAAAAUUCGCCUGUACCACGUGACACAAUAUUCGCGAAUGAGGUUCAGAAUAUUAUGGUGCUCGAGCAUGAGAAUAUCGUCAAGUUAGUUGCGUACUGCCGAGAAGCACAAAACAAAUUGGUGCAGAGCAACGGACGAUAUAUUACUGCAGAGAUCACUGACACUGUACUCUGCUAUGAAUACUUGCCUAAGGGGAGCCUUCACAAGAAUCUUUUUGGUGAAUCCAGUAGCAUUGAUUGGGAUAUGCGCUUUAAAAUAAUAAAGGGAGUAUGUGAAGGUCUACAUUUUCUACAUACCUUGCCUAGUCCCGUUCUCCAUUUGGGUCUGAAGCCUCAAAAUAUACUACUGGGUGACAACAUGACACCGAAAAUUGCGGAUUUUGGUUUCUCCAGAAUAUUCGGCCAAGAUCAAACCCGAAAGAACACACGAAGUGUCGUGGGAUCGGUUGGGUACAUGGCCCCAGAGUUUCUGUACAAUGGCGAAAUCUCGGCUCGGUCAGACAUAUAUAGUUUAGGCCUAAUCAUAAUGGAGAUAUCCACGAGAGAGAUGAAUAGUUCUAGCACUGACCAGAAGCAUGCAAGGAAAUAUAUUGAUGGAGUAAAAGAAAAUUGGACACUGGAGAAAAUAAUGUCUGAGUACACUGAGUUAGAAGAACAUGGUUUCGAUCAAGUAGAAGCAUGUAUCAAUAUUGGUCUACAGUGUGUAGAGAUUGAUCAGAAGAAGAGACCUUCCAUAGAGAACAUUGUCAAUAUGCUCAAUAAGCUUCCAGUGAGCGAGGAGGUUUCCCAUUCCAUGUGAGCACAAAACUUCCCACUUUUCAGUGGGAGAUGUCAAACAUCAAGUAAAACAAGAUCAAUGGUACAAAAGUGGAUGAUGAAACCAAUAUUUGCAUUCAAUAAAGGCAAGCCAUGAUGGCCUUUUGUAAAAAAAAAGUAUUAACGAAAAGUGUAUUGUGGGAACAUGACCCAUUGAUAUCACACAAUUGCAAAUAUAUUUAGUUUUACUUCCUCUGGA